rnacentral:rRNA from 1 species
UACAGAGGGUGCAAGCGUUAAUCGGAAUUACUGGGCGUAAAGCGCGCGUAGGUGGUUUGUUAAGUCGGAUGUGAAAGCCCCGGGCUCAACCUGGGAAUUGCAUUCGAGACUGAAUAGCUAGGGUGCGGUAGAGGGAAGCGGAAUUUCCGGUGUAGCGGUGAAAUGCGUAGAUAUCGGAAGGAACAUCAGUGGCGAAAGCGGCUUCCUGGACCAGCACCGACGUUCAGGCACGAAAGCGUGGGAGCAAACAGG